UAACCGUGCAAAGGUAGCACAAUCACUUGUCUAUUAAUUGUAGACCUGUAUGAAAGGCAAAACGAGGGCCUAUCUGUCUCUUGUAGUAAAUCAAUUAAACUGAUCUCCUAGUCCAAAAGCUGGGAUGCCAACAUAAGACCAGAAGACCCUGUGAAGCUUAAACUAAACUAUUAAAUCCUAUAAUAGCUCCUUUCGGUUGGGGCGACCCUGGAAAAAAAAAGAACUUCCAAACAUACUGACCUUACAGUCACCUACCCUAGGCCAACAAGCCUAACAACGACCCAGCACAGCUGAUAAUUGAACCAAGUUACUCCAGGGAUAACAGCGCUAUCUUCUUCAAGAGCCCAUAUCAAAAAGAAGGUUUACGACCUCGAUGUUGGAUCAGGACAUCCUAAUGGUGCAGCCGCUAUUAAGGGUUCGUUUGUUCAACGAUUAACAGUCCCAC
rnacentral:rRNA from 1 species